GAGAGUUUUAGUUUAGUUAAAAUGUCUGUUGCAAGCAGAAGAUGUGUAAUUCGCAAGCUCUA
rnacentral:tRNA from 1 species